UGGGGAAUAUUGGGCAAUGGGCGAAAGCCUGACCCAGCGACGCCGCGUGGGUGAUGAAGGCCUUCGGGUUGUAAAGCCCUUUCGUGUGGAAAGAACAGUCUCGCGGUUAAUACCCGCGGGAUUUGACGGUACCACAGGAAGAAGCACCGGCUAACUCCGUGCCAGCAGCCGCGGUAAUACGGAGGGUGCGAGCGUUGUUCGGAAUUACUGGGCGUAAAGGGCGCGUAGGCGGUAGUGAUAGUCAGGUGUGAAAUCCUUCGGCUUAACCGGAGAACUGCAUCUGAAACUUCACAACUAGAGUACAGGAGAGGGAAACGGAAUUCCCGGUGUAGAGGUGAAAUUCGUAGAUAUCGGGAGGAACACCAGUGGCGAAGGCGGUUUCCUGGCCUGAUACUGACGCUGAGGCGCGAAAGCGUGGGGAGCAAACA
rnacentral:rRNA from 1 species